rnacentral:rRNA from 1 species
GGACGAACGCUGGCGGCGUGCUUAACACUUGCAAGUCGAACGGAAAGGCCCUGCUUUUGUGGGGUGCUCGAGUGGCGAACGGGUGAGUAACACGUGAGUAACCUGCCCUUGACUUUGGGAUAACUUCAGGAAACUGGGGCUAAUACCGGAUAGGAGCUCCUGCUGCAUGGUGGGGGUUGGAAAGUUUCGGCGGUUGGGGAUGGACUCGCGGCUUAUCAGCUUGUUGGUGGGGUAGUGGCUUACCAAGGCUUUGACGGGUAGCCGGCCUGAGAGGGUGACCGGCCACAUUGGGACUGAGAUACGGCCCAGACUCCUACGGGAGGCAGCAGUGGGGAAUAUUGCACAAUGGGCGGAAGCCUGAUGCAGCAACGCCGCGUGCGGGAUGACGGCCUUCGGGUUGUAAACCGCUUUCGCCUGUGACGAAGCGUGAGUGACGGUAAUGGGUAAAGAAGCACCGGCUAACUACGUG